UACGUAGGGUGCAGGCGUUAAUCGGAAUUACUGGGCGUAAAGGGUGCGUAGGCGGGUCUUUUAAGUCAGGGGUGAAAUCCUGGAGCUCAACUCCAGAACUGCCUUUGAUACUGAAGAUCUUGAGUUCGGGAGAGGUGAGUGGAAUUCCUAGUGUAGAGGUGAAAUUCGUAGAUAUUAGGAAGAACACCAGUGGCGAAGGCGGCUCACUGGUCCGGUACUGACGCUGAGGUGCGAAAGCGUGGGGAGCAACAGGG
rnacentral:rRNA from 1 species